rnacentral:misc_RNA from 1 species
AGAGGCUGUCCCAAAAGUAGCUCACCGAAAACGCAACCAGCUGACCACAUAUCAAUUGCCGUUGUGUACUCUGUAGCCCCAAAGAUCAAUUCAGGCGCUCUAUAAUACCUAGAACAAAUGUAGGCUAUAUUGGGCUCCCCAGGCACCAGCAUCUUUGCACUUCCAAAAUCACAGAUCUUCAACUGAUGAGUGUGUGGAUUAACCAAAAGAUUCUGAGGUUUAAUAUCACGGUGACAUACCCCAAUUACAUUGUGCAUGUAAUUUAGAGCCCGACAUAUCUGGUACAUGUACAAUUGAACGUAUAUGAUGGGCAUGUGAUGGUUCACUCGGCUGUAGUGCCUUGAAACUCGGUACACAGUUUCAGACACAUACUCCAGAACAAGGUUAAGGUAAACUUCAUUCUUCUCAGUAGUAGAA